rnacentral:misc_RNA from 1 species
GGGACAACUAGGUUAUCAUGACCUUCCUUUGACAUAGUUGACUUAUUUAAUUAGCAUUCAUAUAAAUUUUAUGUGUAUUAAAUAUUAAUAAAACUUACAUAAUUAAUAGCUCCUAAAGUUCGAUGAGACCGCCAAAUGGAAGUUUGUACAUUUUUAGUGGAAAUUCUAGAAUAGUUUUAUUAUAUUUUUUUCGAUGAAUUGUGAAAGUCCCAGACAAAAAGUAUAAGCCUUAGGCCAAGCGUUGGCUUUCAACAAUAUUAAUAAUUGGUUUCCACUUCCAAUAUUCCCCAACAACAGAUUUCUUUUACAAGAAAAUUCAAUACUUGAGAUCCCACAUCUCCUAAAGCCUGCAGUGUCACUCCAUGCUUCAAAAACUUUCAAUCACAAGUUAACAACGUUUUCUCCAUACUGGAAUGGAAAUUUUUAAUUGAUCUUUAGAAAACUUAAGCAUACCAAAGCACAUCGCAUGGAUAAAAAAGGAGACAAAAAGGCUAAAAUAGUUUGUCAAAAUGAACAACUAAGCUAAUGCAGUGCAGACCAAGUAUGAAGAACAGAGGUGCCAAAUCUGCAUGUGAAAGUAGGAAACAACAAUGUGUAACCUAAAUCUCAUAAUAUCAGCAUAAAUCUAAAUGAUAAAAAAAGUCUACCAGCAUAAAUCUCAUAAUAUCAACUUCCCUGACGUAGUCCUGCUCAGAAGGCCUUCUCACGAGUACAAAGUAACAGUUUCCAUAUCCCCCUUCCCAUCGCAUUUCUAUCAAACUAAAUGCAAACCAGAUUUUUCAAGCACUUCUUUUCUCUUAAAGUGUGUUUGGUAUUGUAAAUUGACAUAGUAAGGACUGGUCAUCAGCGGAGAGAUGAUGGAUGAGAUGUUUUGGUUAGACAAAGUUAAACCAGCUAGCAAAUUCAGUUAACAGAAGCUUAUGUAGACACAACAUCAGUUUGAAAGCUUGCUCAGUCUGGGACUGGGUAACUGAACCAUGAGCACCCUUACACUCAAGGAUACCACAAAUUUGUAAUAUUCUGAAUUUCUGAUGAUUAUACUUUUGCUCAAUAUCAGCAAAAGCAAAGCAUCAACCUAUGCUGACAAACUAUUCACUCUCCUGCAGCAAGCCCAGUUCAGCCUUAUGAACAAAACCAGUAUAAAAAUUUUGCUCAUUCAACAAUCAAUCAAUGCAGUUAAAUGAAGAAGAAACAUAUAUGGCAGAAAUUAAAUGUACAUUGGAACAAAAAGGCAAGACACAAUCAGGAUACCAACUAAAAAACUCAUCUUGACCAAAGCUAAUGAGAAAUAUCAUAAUUUUGUCAUUUAUCCCUCCGACACAUCAUUUCAUUUACAUAAAUUCCUCAAUUGGCCUCCAAGGAAACCUCUGGCCAACUAUUUAACGAAAAAAAAGAAAAAAAAGAUGAUGACAAGACUUAGAAGACCAAAAGUUAUCAAUGGACAUUAAAUUUGGAUCACAGAUUAGAGUAAAGUAUCACUCACAAUAUAUAAUCUGAAAUGUCUAUUGUGAAAACUAUGCACCAAAGCAUUUGAUCAACUCAUCAUCAAGUAAGAAUUCUUCAAUUUCAAAAUGAUAUGGACUGGGGAGGGGUCCAUAUUCUGAUGACAAGCUAUGUAGAGGAGGUGGAGACCCAAAAGGUCUAUGAAAAUCUCCUCUGAUGAUCUCAUCACCAUCCGUAUGUAGUGCUGGUACAUUGCCUCCAUCAUCCUGUGGUCUGAUAUGAGUUGCAUCCAAUGUCAUUUGAGACUGCUGUGCAUCAUGCGCAGGCCCAUAGUCAACCGUUGGAUUAUAGAUAUCAUAAGCAGCACCAUGAUGCGACUCUGAAUUUUUUAAGACACGUAGAAGCAUGGAGCUUCCAUCCACAUGCAUGCCCCCCAUAGAAUCAACAUUGGCAGCGGGAAUGGCAGAAAAGUAGAUAAAUUCAGAUGGGGGUAGAUUGGGUCCACUUUCAAAACGUUUCUGCAAAGGCCUCAAACUAGUAGUAGUAUCACUUUCCUGUUCACUGCCAUUCAUCUGAUAUUCCAUUGCUGAUAAAUCAGCAGUAUUCAUAUCAGGCACACACUCCUCAGCAAAUGAAUGCUUAUUAAGAAGUGGUCCAGAUUGUUGAUCAGCAUUGCUAGAUUCUCCACGAGGCUUUUUAGUCAGUUGCCUUUCCCCUUGCUCUUUAUCUUGGAUAGCAUGGGGAUUGUCAUUUCGAACAAUGCUUAAUGGCUCCGCUACCAUUGCUGUAGUGCUCCUGUUAUCUUUUGAUGAAACACAACCAGCAACAUCAGCAGCAGCAUCAACAUCAUAAUCACUGUCACUACUAAUGUCAUGUCGCUUCCUUCCACGACACCCGCCUUUAGGCAUUUCAGUUAUGCCAGAAGUGCCAUUAUCACUGCUAGGCUGUUGAAUGAGGGAUUCUUCUCGACUCAAGACACUCAACCAAAUAGCACUCUCCUUUGCAGUCAUCUUGUCCUGUAAGCAUUUUGACGAGCGGACAUGCCUCCGGAUUUUUGCAAUAUCAGGUGACAUGUGCUUUAUUACAGCUGUUAAUACCCCAACUUUCCACAUCUUUUUUAAAUCAUGGGGUUUCUUAUAAGGAGGACUCUGACCUUGGGGUAGCCCUAACUUUAACCACCAUUCUUCAUUUCCAGUUGGCCACCAAGGUGGCGGAACUCUUUUCUCCAAAGGAUACUUCCUUUGAGGGGGAUCACAGUGCUGCAUUAAAGAAGACAAGAGAGAUCCCAAAGUUGCAUCUUGCAGGUCUUGAAGAAUGCUUUGGGAUUUUUUAUUUCGAUUUUUGUUUGCCUCGCCCAGGGCCAAACACUCAGCUUCAUACUUUGCUAUGGCUGCUGGCCCAUUCUUAUCAAACUUUACCUUUUCUUUCCACCAAGCUCUUAUAUUAUCAGAGGAACCACUUACUGGCUUACCCUUCUCAGGAAUGAUCCCAUACACAAAUCCACGUGCUUUGCACACUUCCAUUAGUUUCAACAUAUACUUGAGAAUUCCAUCUUGGGCUCUUGACAUUUUCUUUCUUUGUGCCUGAUCAGAGUUGUGCUUGAGCUUCUGCUCCUCUGCAGCUUGUUGGGCUUCAAAUUUAUGUCUUUCCUUAAUCCUUUUGAGCUUGAUCUGAUCCUUCCACAUUCGCCUCUCCAACUCUUCCGUUUCAAUUUCUUCAUCACUAACAUCUUUCUCUGGAAUGUUGUCACACCUUAUGUCGUCAACUUCAAUAUCCGAACUGUCAGCCAAUGAAUGAGCAAACAUCAGACAGGGCGCUAAGAAUAAAGAUACAAUUGUCCACCAUCUUCUUACCCAGAAAAUAUAAUCGGUCUCUACAGGAUAAGGGGAUGGGGAGGACUUGCAUUCGUCUAAUAUUCUCACCAAAACCAUCUAGUUAUAUUAUGUUCAAAGCAUGGAGAAUUUAGAAUUCUCUGGUACGAAAAGGCCAAGCAUCCGAUACUGAAAAUAAUGUUCAUUUAAUAAAUUUUGUCAGCAACCCAAAUAAUUAUAACCAAAUUCUGACGAAUAAAAGCCAUCACUUACUAAAUCAAAAUCCAUCUUCCUCACAAUCCCAGAUCAGAUAAUACCAAUAAUUUCCUCCAAAAGAAUCUAUAUCGAAGCAAACAAAAAUUAUAUACAAUAGCCACUGCUAUUUUGCAUCGCAAAACAACUAACUUCUAAAAAGAAUGACCCAAAAAUACAAGUUUUGUGAAUUUACAAAGAUAUAAACCAACUGUGAAUGAAAUUGCUAUCGGUGGAACAAAAUCGAACUUUUUGGGCAAAUAAUGAAAUGAUUAAGAAAAAUGGAAAGUGGUACCUGAUAUCAGCUCCAAUCUCUUCCAAUUCACCCAUCAAACUCUACACAAAAAGGAAAUUGAGCGUGAAAAAAAAAAAUGAAACCCUACAACUUGGGAAAUGAAUUUGCUGCGUUAUAAUAGAAGAUGACAAUACGUAUCGAUACUCCUCAAGGAGAGAUACGAUAAUCCAGAAAAAGG